CAUCACAUUCAAUCUAAUUUUUUAUGCUCGCAUUAAGCAUAUUGAGCUAGACUUUCACUUUAUCCUAGAAAAGGUGGCCCAUAAUGAAUUGGAUAUCUAAUUCAUUUCUACCAUUGAUUAAGUGGCUGACAUCUUCAUCAAAGGCCUACAUCCUAGCCAUCUACAUUAUUUGCAGAUCAAGGUCAAUGCUCAAGCUUACCCAUUUAUCUUGAGGAGGCAUGAUAGCAAACUUGAUUCAUAUUUGCCUAAAUCAUAAGAUAUACCAACAUGACUGCUAUUUCUGAUGU
rnacentral:lncRNA from 1 species